rnacentral:sRNA from 1 species
GGAGUCCCCACACUUGACCCGUGUUCGGCAGGAGCGGGGGACCCACCAGGUACGACUGCCUGUCCGGUCUCCGUGACAGGCCAGGGGUGCAGCCGCACACCGCGGCCGGGCAGCUCCAGCCCGAACCCGACAGCUGACCUCGCAGGCGCCGGAGAGGAAUG